UAAGCCAAUAUAAUGACUUAUUGCUUCUUCUCUGCGUAUCAGCUUCUCUCUCAUUCCAGAAGCUCUUUGCGUUUUUUUUUUUUUUUCUUUUUAUGGUUUCAAGCUUCAAGGCUUAAUUUCUCUCUCAAUUCUUGGCAGAUUUAGGUGCCGUUUGAGGCAAAACGAAGCCCACGACGAGCUCUACGCAUCCAUACGAACAAUUCCAGAUUUGGUGCCCUUCUUGGAGUUCGAAAUUCAAGACCCAUUUUAAGGGUUUUGUGCAAUCUUGAGGUCAUGGCAAAGAAACGACGGAUGACAAUCCUCCACAAACUUGAAAGUUGUUAGGAGGUUGUUUGCUAUUUUGUAUUUUGACCAUUCUAUGUAUAUUCAUAGUUGUGGAAAUGUAACUAAGUCAGUAUUCAUGGCCUUGUAAUUUAAGAACGAACUUAUCUUUUGUUUAAUGUAAAUGAAACUAAUGGAAUCAUGGUGUAUAUUUCCAUGUAAUUGUAUCAUGUAACGUUGUAAGACAUGGAUUUUAGAUCUUAACCAUGUAUUUUGGGACUGUAAUUAUGAUAAUUUGGAUUA